GAGGUUUACCGUCCCGCCGAAGCACACUCUUCAGUUUAACAUCUGCCCUGCGCCAGCCCCAAAGCUGACUUCACUCCGGUCCUCCGUGCUCACACCGUUCUGCUCUCGCGUCUGCUCUGAUUCUUACCUUCUCCGCCAUCGGACCGCUCCGAGGGCAAAGUUGCUAGCAGUCGUCCGUGGCCUGCGGGUGCCGACUCCAGAACGCCUCCUGAACGGCAAGCCCCUGAUCGCUCAAGGCUCAUCAGUGUACUGACCGGCAGCGAUUGUAUCGACUGCGUCUCCAAAUCUUCCAGGCGCCCCCCUGGAAAGGUGCCUUAGCGCCUCUACUCUGGACCUCUUAGUCGAACAUGCUUUUCCCCUCUCUGGGAUCCUGACACUCUCCUUCCGGGACUGUGACUGCCAGCCUCAAACUACCCCUUUGUGUUCCACUCGCGCAGGUCACAGUUGCCUUUCCUAAACUGCGCUUUUUAUCCUCUACCUCCUUCCACCCCAAUCCCUCACCGCCACCCGCCUUUUCUUCCCUGUCAGAACGCUCCGCAUGGCCUUUAAAACCCACAGGACCUGAAUUUACACUUACUUCUCUGUAUUUUCCACCUACCUGUACAAGAGCUCCCAGAUCAGAGCGCUGGUUUUUUUCUGCUGCUAGGGGUCCCUGGCACCCGCCCACUGGACCAGCUAAAUUACGCCUGAAGCGGUGGUCUUCCAAUGUCUCUGUCUCUGUAUCUUCGAGGACCCCCUAAUGCAGAAAUCUUUGUUUCUUUCCAAAGGAUUUUUGAAAACCGCAAACUUGCAUGCAUCUUUAAGAUGACAUCUAACAUCUUUCAUCUCAAGUUUAAAUCCCUGUGGAAGAUACCAUGGUUAUGUGAAAAUAGAUUACCAUAGGCACCUUUCAGGAUGACUCCUCAGAAUCUCACCUCCUAGUUCGGGUACCUUUUGAAUCCUCCCCCCUUUAGUAUGGGCUGACCCAGUGACUUUGUUCCACCCAUCAGAGGGAUGGGUCCUCAGUUUGUCCUUCUCUUAAAGAAAAAGUGAUAAUUUCCCAAACUGAAAAUUAAUAAGGGCUGAACUAAAAGUAAAGUGUGUUUUCUAAAGUUCUUGGAAUACAAAUCCAUUUACAUUGUAAUGGCCCAGAGAAAGGGAUAAGAGUUCAGACUUUGGUUAUGAUAAUGAAAAAACCUUGGCCAUGAAAACAGGCCAUUGACCUCUAAAACUCUCACUAAAAGGAAAGAUAGAGUUUUCAUUUCAAUAUGUAAGUUGUUUCCUAGCCUGGAAACUGCUGGCUGUGAGCUCAAAGAUCCUGGGCUGAAUGGCUCCAGAAACCUGAACUGAAAUUUGAUUAUCGAAGGCCUCACCAAACAGGAGUGCCUCAGGAGAUGAUCACGCCCUCUUGAACUAAUCACUGAACUAACUAUAUGCCUGGGAUCUCUGCCUCUAAUUUUGCCCUUAAAAACGCCUAUGGGGAAUACUUUGGGGAUACCAAGUCUUUUCAGCAUGAGCUACCUGCUCUCCUUGCUUUGCACUUUGCAAUAGAGGAUUUUCCUUCAUCACACCAUGUGCCUAUGGUUGGUUUUAUAGUAUUUGGGCUAGCAAACCUAAUUUGAGUUUGAUAACACUAGUGUAGAUGCAGAUGGUAUAUCCCCUACACUAUUAGGUUACAGAAAGAUCCUGAUUUGUGUCUGAGUCAGCCUCCCUCAGCUCUUGACUCCUAGAGAGGCAUCUUUGGAGACUACCUCCUAUGGACAGAUGUCCGUCUGACUGCUUUUUUCUAUUUUUCCAAAGUCCUUUCCCAAGGGCCUAGGGGGAGUCAUGUACGCUAACAUUAAGAGACCAUUUUUUCCAUUUAACAGGAUUCUUCCUGCAUCCUGUCCCUGGCAUAAUAUCUUUGAAAUGUAUAUUCAACCAAUUACAAUACAUUCUUUUGAUAACCUCAUCCCAAGACACAGAAUUUACCUUUCCUUAAGAUGUAGAUUUAUGAAUCUCUUCCCAGGACAUAGAUCUUCCCUUCCAAUCACCAACCUAGGAAUUGUGGAACCCAUCUACAAGCCCCACUCCCUCCCACCCCACUUCCACAUAUUCUACCUCUUUGGGCCAAGACCAAUGAAAAUCUCUUCACUAAUUUUAUCUGUCAACCUCAAAAUCAAAUGAAAGGAACCCCUGUAUGUAAUCACCCUGAUAAAAGCAUGUAUGCCUACUCUAUGGGCCUAAGUCACUUAUAUUCUGCUUGGAAAUAAAGCACAUUAACCAUUAAUUACUAAA